rnacentral:rRNA from 1 species
GAUGAACGCUGGCGGCGUGCCUAAUACAUGCAAGUCGAGCGAACAGACGAGGAGCUUGCUCCUCUGACGUUAGCGGCGGACGGGUGAGUAACACGUGGAUAACCUACCUAUAAGACUGGGAUAACUUCGGGAAACCGGAGCUAAUACCGGAUAAUAUAUUGAACCGCAUAGUUCAAUAGUGAAAGACGGUUUUGCUGUCACUUAUAGAUGGAUCCGCGCCGCAUUAGCUAGUUGGUAAGGUAACGGCUUACCAAGGCGACGAUGCGUAGCCGACCUGAGAGGGUGAUCGGCCACACUGGAACUGAGACACGGUCCAGACUCCUACGGGAGGCAGCAGUAGGGAAUCUUCCGCAAUGGGCGAAAGCUUGACGGAGCAACGCCGCGUGAGUGAUGAAGGUCUUCGGAUCGUAAAACUCUGUUAUUAGGGAAGAACAAAUGUGUAAGUAACUAUGCACGUCUUGACGGUACCUAAUCAGAAAGCCACGGCUAACUACGUG